rnacentral:rRNA from 1 species
AUUUAAUUAAAUUAAAUUUGGUUUUUAAAGAAAAAAUUCUAAUUUUUUUAUACAUUUUUUAAAAAACGAAUAAUAGAAAAUUUAUUUUUUUAAAUAAUUAAUAAUUAUUAAGAGUUAGAAUAAAUUUCUAGCUAAAUUUGUGCCAGCAGCAGCGGUUAGACAAAUAGAAAAAUUCUUUUUAUAAUAAAAUUUAAAAAAUAAAUUUAAUUAUAAUUAUUAAAAAUUAAGGUGAAAUUUUUUUUUAAUUGAAUUUUGUAUAAAAUUAAAAUUCUUAUAAUAAACUA